UGGCCAGCAAGAUGAUUGCAACCAGAGUUCGAUUUGGUGGUUUGCCGAAUAUUGUGCAGCGACAAUUUUGUGGCAGUCGGCAGCCGAAACGAUAUGGAACCGUCCAAUACCAACGCAUCGCAAAUGUCGCCACGGCCAACGCGCUGAUAAGUGAUACGAAACAAGGGCCUCUCCAGUGACGUUAGGCGGUCAUAGGAUGUAUUCCAGCAUUAACUAUUUGCGUGGCGAUUUGGAGUGUACGGCCGGGACGAUGAACGAUGUAAAACAAACGAUAAUACAAAAGCUUGGAUCGAAG